AUAUCUCUCCGUACGGGAAGGAUGAGAAGCUUCGACUAAGGUUCGAUUCGAGCGCAGCGAGAAAGCGUUGCCGCAGGCAACGACCCGAAGG
rnacentral:sRNA from 2 species